rnacentral:lncRNA from 1 species
CGUCAUCGACUCCAGAAGAGAGAGGGUAACAAGUCUCAUCGGAAGGUGGGAUCGGACGGCCGUAGAUCACGGUGAUGUCGUAGCCACCGCUGUACGGCGUUGGAUCGAACUCGUCGAAAUCGUCGACUUCAUCCUCUUCUCUGGUGUAGUACGGCAUCGUUUUUUUUUUUCAAAAAGGUUCUCUCUGAUCUGUGAUUUUCUCUCCUUUUCUCUUGGAUCUCACAAUAAUGACGAAAAUGGAAUUUUUUAAGGAGGAAGGAGACGAAGGGUAUAAAACGCGGCGUUUUUUUAAUUUAAUUACGUGGGCUCCAUUAAUCUGCUGUUUACAUGGCGAGCACUACGAGUCUACGACGCGGGUAAGAUUUUGCCACGUGGCUUUGUCUUAAUUGGUUAAACAAUCUGAUCGUACCGAUUGCCGACUGGUCGAACCGGAAUCCAUAAUUCGAUUCUUCUACCGACAGAUUUGAAUAUGUGAUUCCACGGAUGAGAAAGUACCGGUUCUGUAGUCAAGCUCUGAACCAUUUACACUUGAAAUGCUUAAAACUCAACAAAAGAAAAGAAAAGAAAAAUCCAAAUUUUGAUAUUUUCUUUCAAACAAAUAUUGCAUCAAUAAGGGAGAUUUGAAGUCAGAUAGUCGUUAUGCAAAUAAGGAGAUAACCAUGAGAGCGAAUUAAUACAACUGGUAUAGAAAGUAUUAGCAGUUUGUGUGGGAAAUCUGGUAGGGCUGGGCAAAAUAUCCGUUACAUUUGCUUCGAUCCGCUAUUCGUCUCGAAUCGAUCCGAAAAAUCUGGAUAUCCGUAAUUUUAUGGAGCAAAGCAAAUACUAAAAUUCAAUAUCCGUUAAAAACGAAGCAAAUCACAAAUACUAAAAAAAAAUUAAGACAGAUAUCCGCUCCGAUAUAAAUAUAUAUAUAUAGAUAAUAAUUCAUAUAAAGUAUAUAAUUAUUAUAUAUAAAUGUAAUUUUUGUGAAUUUUUUUUUAUAAAUUUGAUUAUUAUAAAUAUUAAAACUUAAUAGGUUAAGAAAAAAAUAUUUUUUAAAGAAAAUAUUGUCAUUUUAAACUAAAUUUUGAAUUUUUGAAUUUUUAUUUUAAAUAUUUUAUUAUUUAAAUAUUUUUAUGGGGCGGAUCGGAUAUCCGACAAAUAUUCAGAUUUUUGGCGGAUAUCCGGAAAAUGGAUAUCCAGAUAAUUACGGAGCGGAUACAGAUCGAAAAAGUGAUUAUCAGGGCGGAGCGGAUCACGGAUAUCCCUAAAAUCCAGGAUAUCCGCUCCGCGCCCACCCCUAAAAUCUGGAUUUGAACCUAAGAUCCAAGCAGUAUACAUGAUAGUCAAUAACAAACAAUUUAGAUAUUCCUGACAUUAGUCAGAAAGCAUUUCAAACUUGGGAUAUGCAGUGUGGUAACCCGCUGGAUCUCAUAGAUCUCUUGACUUGUUGGCCCAAGUGCAUGUGCUUGGAGUUUAUGGUGUUCGUUGAACCUGGAUAAUCAAUCUACUCUAUAAUACUUCGUUGCAUUCCUAUCGGAACUGACCGAAUCAGCCGAUAGAGUUUAUCAACAAAAAGAUAUUAGCAAAAGAAACCUUCUUAGCCAACCAAUGUGCUGAUUCAUAGUAAUACAGUAAAACCUCUUUAAAUUAAUAAUGUUGGGACUAUGAUAUUUUAUUAAUUUAUCGUGAUAUUAAUUUAUCUAUAAAUUAAUAAUUAUUAAUUAAUAGAGAAAAAUUGCUUUCUGCAUAUAAUUUUCUAAAGAUUAUUUUGGAAUAAUGUUAUAUUUUAAAAUUUUAACAAAUAUCAUAAUAUAAAUUAUGAUUAAAAAUCAUAACUAUCACAAUAAAAUAGUUUUCACCAUAUUGGAUUAUCCAUAUAAAAAUAUACAUGUUCAUAAGUAUAAAAUUUAUAAAAAAAACUAUGGCUACUAUCAGUAUUAUUGAUGAUAAAAUUGUAGAUAACACUACAAUACAUUUAAAAACAUUUAUAUGUAAGAAAAUCAAUUAUCACAUCAAAAAAUCAUCAUAAAUUUUGAAUAUAUAUAGUAAAACCGCAAUAAGAGUUACUGAUAUAAUAAUUAGAGAGAUGAGAACCAAUGAGAUUUUAACUUUAACUAAAAACAAACACAUUAGUCAUAUUUUAGAAUAUUAAAUUUAUAUAUAUUUUCAGAAAUUUAUAUCAUUAUUAAUUUAUGUUUUUGUUGGGACCAUAUAUUUACAUAAGGGUUUCAAAAAAAAUUAUUAUCUUAUUAUCUUAUCGAAUUUGAUGGAUUUUUACAUUGGCCCGACUUGGGACCAUCAAAAUUUAUUAAUUUAUAGUGAUUAUUAAUUUAUCGAGUAUUAAUUUAUAGAAGCUCUACUGUAUAGUGUUUUCUUAUUCAUUGGAAUGCAACUCGAUCAAACCCAAAUUUUCAUUUAUCUAUUUUCUUCUAUAUAUUAAAAACUUCGAGAUCCUAUUUUUCUCAGAUAUUUGAGUUUUUGUCAAAAUUUUAUUUUUGUUGAUUUGAAUAUGCUUUCUUCCGUAUCAGUUAUUUUUUUCGUAUGGUAUAAGACAUAUAAUGUUAUGAUCUGAAUGCUAGUUUGGAAUUUAAUAUAGUACUGAAUUUUAGAAUUUGUUAUAAAAUAUUAUGUAUGUAAUUUAUAUUUCAAAGUCGGUAAAUUUUUAAAUCCAUUAAUCGACUAGACUAUCAGAAAGAAAAAUUUUUGGUUUUAAAAACAUCAUUCUAAAAGAUACAAUUACAACAACUGAUUUUUGUUUUUUUUGUAGCUGUAGACUAUAUUUCAAAUACUCUUUUUUAUGUUGCAAAAAAGUUUCAUGAUGAACUAAUAGAAAAGUUCUUGUAGGGGAAGAAGACCACCUUGGACAAAAUGGAAAAGUCUAGAUAAAGAGUACAAUCACUUGAAGGUAAAACAAAAACUCUCAACUUGUUCAGCCGAGAAAAUUUGUUUGUUAUUUUGAAUAGGUACUCUCAAGAAAAGUUGGCAAUAACAGCCAUUUUAAAUUGGGUGCAUAGAGAGAAAUUAACAUAUGGGACAUGUAACUAAAACAGUGAGAGAGAGAGAGUUGAUUGAAAAAAAAAAUAGUGGAUCGAUGUCUGUUGGCUUAGUGUUCUAAAUCUUCUACAAAAAAUUUGUGCAUUAUUGUUCACAAACUUGUGUGUUUUUUUGUCUUUUGUAGUGUUAAAGUUUGCCGAGGCUCUUAUGAUCCUAUAUUGGUAAUGGCGUGUGAAGCAUGGGCUAAAACG